GAAAAUUUCUCAAUAAUUAUCCCUAUCCACAAGCGCCAAUCCACAAUCUGGAUUGAAGCGCCAAUCCACACAGAACGAAAGAGCCUUGUCUUCCUCUUCUCUUCGUUGUUCUAGGGUCCUGCCCAAUUUGGAGUUUUCCGUCCCAAUCCACAAGCACCAUUCAAAUUUAAUUGUAAAAAAUAGGUUUUUUGAAGCGCACAUUAGGGUAUUAUGGUAGCAAGGGCAAUGGUGUUUCGAGUUAGAAUAGUGGUCCUCUCGACGAGAUGAUAUUAGGGUUGUUCUUGAACAAAGACGACGGAGCUUGGGAAUGAGUAACUUGAAUUAUUCGUUAAUAUAUUUCAAUGUAUCUUGUUGUAUUUCCAUGUAUCUUAUUGUAUUCAUUGUCCUUUUUUUAUUGUAUUUCAAUGUUUC
rnacentral:lncRNA from 1 species